UUACGGCCAUAUCACGUUGAAAUACCGAUUCCCGUCAGAUCACUAAAGUUAAGUAACGUCAAACCUGGUAAGUACCUAGAUGAGUGAUCUGUUUGGAAUACCAAGUACUGUAA